rnacentral:rRNA from 1 species
CCUUACCAUCCCUUGACAUCCAGAGAAUUUUCUAGAGAUAGAUUAGUGCCUUCGGGAGCUCUGAGACAGGUGCUGCAUGGCUGUCGUCAGCUCGUGUUGUGAAAUGUUGGGUUAAGUCCCGCAACGAGCGCAACCCUUAUCCUUAUUUGCCAGCGAGUAAUGUCGGGAACUUUAAGGAGACUGCCGGUGAUAAACCGGAGGAAGGUGGGGACGACGUCAAGUCAUCAUGGCCCUUACGGGAUGGGCUACACACGUGCUACAAUGGCAAGUACAAAGGGUUGCAAACUCGCGAGAGUAAGCGGAUCCCAUAAAGCUUGUCGUAGUCCGGAUUGGAGUCUGCAACUCGACUCCAUGAAGUCGGAAUCGCUAGUAAUCGUGGAUCAGAAUGCCACGGUGAAUACGUUCCC